rnacentral:rRNA from 1 species
UACGUAGGUGGCGAGCGUUGUCCGGAAUUACUGGGUGUAAAGGGCGUGUAGGCGGGAAUACAAGUGGGAUGUGAAAGCCCAGUGCUUAACAUUGGGACUGCAUCUUAAACUAUAUUUCUUGAGUGUUGGAGAGGAAAGCGGAAUUCCCAGUGUAGCGGUGAAAUGCGUAGAUAUUGGGAGGAACACCAGUGGCGAAGGCGGCUUUCUGGACAACAACUGACGCUGAGGCGCGAAAGCGUGGGGAGCAAACAGG